rnacentral:rRNA from 1 species
UACGUAGGGUGCGAGCGUUGUCCGGAAUUACUGGGCGUAAAGAGCUCGUAGGUGGUUUGUCGCGUUGUUCGUGAAAUCUCACGGCUUAACUGUGAGCGUGCGGGCGAUACGGGCAGACUAGAGUACUGCAGGGGAGACUGGAAUUCCUGGUGUAGCGGUGGAAUGCGCAGAUAUCAGGAGGAACACCGGUGGCGAAGGGGGGUCUCUGGGCAGUAACUGACGCUGAGGAGCGAAAGCGUGGGGAGCGAACGGG